UACGUAGGGUGCACGCGUUAAUCGGAAUUACUGGGCGUAAAGCGUGCGCAGGCGGUUUUGUAAGUCUGUCGUGAAAGCCCCGGGCUCAACCUGGGAAUUGCGAUGGAGACUGCAAGGCUUGAAUCUGGCAGAGGGGGGUAGAAUUCCACGUGUAGCAGUGAAAUGCGUAGAGAUGUGGAGGAACACCGAUGGCGAAGGCAGCCCCCUGGGUCAAGAUUGACGCUCAUGCACGAAAGCGUGGGGAGCAAACAGG
rnacentral:rRNA from 1 species